rnacentral:rRNA from 1 species
UACGGAGGGUGCGAGCGUUGUCCGGAAUCACUGGGCGUAAAGGGCGCGUAGGUGGCCCGUUAAGUGGCUGGUGAAAUCCCGCGGCUCAACUGCGGGGCUGCCGGUCAGACUGGCGAGCUAGAGCACGGUAGGGGCAGAUGGAAUUCCCGGUGUAGCGGUGGAAUGCGUAGAGAUCGGGAAGAAUACCAGUGGCGAAGGCGUUCUGCUGGGCCGUUGCCGACACUGAGGCGCGACAGCGUGGGAGCAAACAGG